rnacentral:rRNA from 1 species
AACGAACGCUGGCGGCAUGCCUAACACAUGCAAGUCGAACGAGACCUUCGGGUCUAGUGGCGCACGGGUGCGUAACGCGUGGGAACCUGCCCUUAGGUUCGGAAUAACUCCCCGAAAGGGGUGCUAAUACCGGAUAAUGUCUUCGGACCAAAGAUUUAUCGCCUUUGGAUGGGCCCGCGUUGGAUUAGCUAGUUGGUAGGGUAAAAGCCUACCAAGGCGACGAUCCAUAGCUGGUCUGAGAGGAUGAUCAGCCACACUGGGACUGAGACACGGCCCAGACUCCUACGGGAGGCAGCAGUGGGGAAUAUUGGACAAUGGACGAAAGCCUGAACCAGCAAUGCCGCGUGAGUGAUGAAGGCCUUAGGGUUGUAAAGCUCUUUUACCCGGGAUGAUAAUGACAGUACCGGGAGAAUAAGCUCCGGCGAACUCCGU